GUGAGGAAUUUUCCGCAAUGGGCGAAAGCCUGACGGAGCAAUGCCGCGUGAAGGAUGAAGGCCUAUGGGUUGUAAACUUCUUUUCUCAGAAAAGAAUUAUGACGGUAUCUGAGGAAUAAGCAUCGGCUAACUCUGUGCCAGCAGCCGCGGUAAGACAGAGGAUGCAAGCGUUAUCCGGAAUGAUUGGGCGUAAAGCGUCUGUAGGUUGUUUAAAAAGUAUUCUGUCAAAGAUUAGGACUUAACCCUAGAUAGGCAGAAUAAACUUUUAAGCUAGAGUUUGGUAGAGGCAGAGGGAAUUCCCGGUGGAGCGGUGAAAUGCGUAGAUAUCGGGAGGAACACCAAAGGCGAAGGCACUCUGCUGGGCCAAUACUAACACUGAGAGACGAAAGCGAGGGGAGCAAAUGGGAUUAGAUACCCUGGUAGUCC
rnacentral:rRNA from 1 species